rnacentral:snoRNA from 1 species
AACCAAAGUGUUGAGUCUAGUUCAGGGCUGCUUCCCUGUGCUGGUAAUUAAACUUUGGAACAGUAAGACACGGGCUGGGGGAGAUGAUUGGGUAGAAGGUAUUUCUCUAUAACAUUUCUCUCCCGGCCUACAAAA